GAUGAACGCUGGCGGCGUGCCUAAUACAUGCAAGUCGAGCGAACAGACGAGGAGCUUGCUCCUCUGACGUUAGCGGCGGACGGGUGAGUAACACGUGGAUAACCUACCUAUAAGACUGGGAUAACUUCGGGAAACCGGAGCUAAUACCGGAUAAUAUAUUGAACCGCAUGGUUCAAUAGUGAAAGACGGUUUUGCUGUCACUUAUAGAUGGAUCCGCGCCGCAUUAGCUAGUUGGUAAGGUAACGGCUUACCAAGGCAACGAUGCGUAGCCGACCUGAGAGGGUGAGAGGCCACACGGGAGCUGAGCCGGGGUCAAGACGCCUGCGGGAGGCAGCAGUAGGGAAUCUGCCGCAAUGGGCGAAAGCCUGACGGAGCAACGCCGCGUGAGUGAUGAAGGUCUUCGGAGCGUAAAACUCUGUUAUUAGGGAAGAACAAAUGUGUAAGUAGCUAUGCACGUCUUGACGGUACCUAAUCAGAAAGCCACGGCUAACUACGUG
rnacentral:rRNA from 1 species